rnacentral:misc_RNA from 1 species
UACGGAGGGUGCGAGCGUUAAUCGGAAUUACUGGGCGUAAAGCGCACGUAGGCGGUUUGUUAAGCUAGUUGUGAAAGCCCCGGGCUUAACCUGGGACGGUCAUUUAGAACUGGCAGCCUAGAGUCUUGGAGAGGGGAGUGGAAUUCCAGGUGUAGCGGUGAAAUGCGUAGAUAUCUGGAGGAACAUCAGUGGCGAAGGCGGCUCACUGACCAAAGACUGACGCUGAUGUGCGAAAGUGUGGGUAGCGAACAGG